rnacentral:tRNA from 1 species
GGCCGAGUAGCUCAGUGGAUAGAGCAUCUGCCUUCUAAGCAGAUGGUCGGGAGUCCGAUUCUCUCCUCGGUCA